rnacentral:rRNA from 1 species
UACGUAGGGUGCAAGCGUUUAAUCGGAAUUACUGGGCGUAAAGCGUGCGCAGGCGGUGAUGUAAGACAGAUGUGAAAUCCCCGGGCUCAACCUGGGAACUGCAUUUGUGACUGCAUCGCUGGAGUACGGCAGAGGGGGAUGGAAUUCCGCGUGUAGCAGUGAAAUGCGUAGAUAUGCGGAGGAACACCGAUGGCGAAGGCAAUCCCCUGGGCCGUACUGACGCUCAUGCACGAAAGCGUGGGGAGCAAACAGGG